CACGUCCGGUUCCUUUUUCCAUCGCCACCUCCUAAUAGAUCGUGGGACGAUUCGGUUUCCGACUCGGCCUCCCGCCGGCGACCCGCCCGUGCCGCACCGGCCAGCUGCAGACGUCCGAGCCGGGCUUCUGGUCUCCCCUCGCGCCGCCCCGGCGAGCUACAGCCUGAGGUACACCCCCCCCACCCAGCGCCUGCUCCCCCGGCGAGGCGACCCUCCCGUGCCGCACCGGCCAGCUGCAGACGUCCGAGCCGGGCUCCUGGUCUCCCCCUCGCGCCGCCCGGCGAGGCCCUGCGCCGCCGGCUCCCGUGCUGCCCCGGCUGCCUACCCCCACGCCAGAUCCCGCUCGCCUCUCCUACCAAUUUUUCUCCACUCCCUCGAGCUCAUUUCCGGUCAGCAGGUUUUCCUCUUCCAAAUCCAAUCUCGCCUGGAUUGGAGACGCAUUCGCGGCGUCGAAGAUCGGGGGCGCUAGGUUCCUAUCAUUUUCCUUUUGUGGUGGAUUUGAUCGGAUAGAUGAGAUGUGAUUCUGCCCUGCAGCGCAAGGCGAGCUGUAUUUUUUUUCACAUUGAUUUUUUAUUUUGUCUAAUUUCCGGGGAGGAUCUGAUGAUUUGUGAAGGUGGUGCGCAAAGUUGGUUGUAGAUUGUUGCAAUUGCUUUGUAGCAUGCUUUUUUUCCCGUU